rnacentral:lncRNA from 1 species
GACAGACUAUUACUUGCUCAUUUUACAAACAAACUCACUUUAUAGAGCUUUUGUCAUUUUAUAUACAAAUUGAUUAAGAAGAUAUAGGCCUUGUUUGAAUGUACAAUUAAUUAACUUAAACGCUUAUCGUAUAGGUGUUUAUGUAUAACCAGAUGCAUACAGUAAAAUAGAUGGUUAUUUUACACGAUUAUUAGCUAAUUAUAUUUAUGUAUAGAAAUUAUAGUUCUUCAAAUCUUCCGAAAGCGAAACACUUGUUUGGAUUGAGGAUUGUCCUCCUUGUAUUGCUUCUGCUGUAGCAGCUAAAAAUGAAAUUUGAAAUAUUUAUAGGAAUCAAAAUUUUAUUUAACCUUAAGAGAAAUAAAAAGGUUAGUAAAAAUUUAAACCAAAGUAUGAGAGAAAAAAUUAUAAGAGUAACAACAAUAUGACAUUUAAAUAAAAUUUUAGACUUCAAAAGAAACAAGAUAACUUUUCAACUAACCUGUUAAUUGCUGCAGUAACAUUUAUUAGAAAAACACACCCCAACUUUAGGUGGGUGACACAAAUAAUUUGGACAAUCCUUAUCAUACUUGCAACCACGAGAUCCUCAGAUGUGAAAAAUGUAUAAAUGAAUGUUAAUAAAAUAUAAUUAUUUUUUUUAAAAAAAAAUCAAUAAGAGAAAAUUAUUAUUGACAAUUGUACCAAUGAAUACUCCCUCCGGUCCUUUUUAUAAGAAACAUUUUGGAAAAAAAAUUUGGUUCUUUUAAUAAGAAACUUUGACUAAUUUUCAAAUGUUUUAAAUGUUCAAUUUCACUUAUUCCCUUAUUUAUUAUGAGAGAAAAUUUAAAAAUAAGUAAGUUAGUUGAAUAAAUAGUAAUUAAAUAAGGGUAUACAUGAAAUAAAUUUAAAUUUACAAGAUUAUUAAAUAAAAAUAACUAUGUUAAAUGUGUUUCCUCAGUCUAUGUGAUUUUUUUAAAGUGUUUCUUAUAAAAAGAACCGGAUGGAGUAUCUUACAAAUAUGUUACAAAGUCAAAUGUUAAAUAAAAAAUUGACACCUUUUAAACUACUUUUUAAAUAUAAGUUCGUUGAUUAAAUUAAGAGUAUUAAGAAAGUUGAUAAUAGUAAUAAAUUUAUUAAUAGUGGAUAUUGUUUUUAUAUUUUUAUUCGUUAAGAGAUAAUUUAUUUAUGUUUUAUCGUGAUAUGUAUUGUAAGGUGUAGAAAAACAGGUUAGAAUAAUUAAGAGUAUUUUUUGAUAAAUAAAUUAUUAAUGUUGUUGAAAAAUUCAAAGAGGGUCUUUAGAAAGGGAUACGUUUUAUUUUUUUGUAAAAAAAUCUUAUAAUUAAGGACGAAUGUAAUAAAAAAUUAAGAAAUUUCUUGAAUAAGAUAAAUAAGAAAAGUUAUAGAAAAGAGCUUACCACCACCAUAGCUAGUUGCAACAUGAAAUAGUGAAAGAAAGAGGGACAUCACAUAAAUAAACUUUAAAACUGCAGCCAUAUUUCUCAUCAUUUGUAUAUUAUAAACAAAUUAAAAAUUUGUAAUUUGACAAAUUUAUUUAUAAUGUAAAAAUCAUCGUACUCUUAUUACUUCAAUGAAAAAAAAAAUUGAAUUAUUGUUAA